GCAAAACGCGAAGAACCUUACCUGGUCUUGACAUAGUAAGAACUUUCCAGAGAUGGAUUGGUGCCUUCGGGAACUUACAUACAGGUGCUGCAUGGCUGUCGUCAGCUCGUGUCGUGAGAUGUUGGGUUAAGUCCCGACAACGAGCGCGAACCCUUUUCCCUUAUUUGCCAGCGGGUUAAGCCGGGAACUUUAAGGAUACUGCCAGUGACAAACUGGAGGAAGGCGGGACGACGGUCAAGUCAUCAUGGCCUUACGACCAGGGCUACACACGUGCUACAAUGGUCGGUACAAGGGUUGCUACCACGCGAGUGGAUGCUAAUCUCAAAAAGCCGAUCGUAGUCCGGAUUGGAGUCUGCAACUCGACU
rnacentral:rRNA from 1 species